CAGCGCCUGCGCACUGAGGCUGGGCAGGUCACGUGAGGGAGGGGCCCGGCUCCCUCAGCCGCAGGGCGGGCAGGCGGGAGGCCGAGCUGAGGGCGGAGCCGCCGGCGCCCCGACCCCCUGGGCGAACAUGGCCGGGGCUGCGGCCGGGACCUGCUCCCCGGGGCGCUGGGGAGCCUCCCCGCUCCGGGCGGGCGCCGGGAGAGCCGAGGCCAUGGACGAGCAGAGCGUGGAGAGCAUUGCUGAGGUGUUCCGAUGUUUUAUUUGUAUGGAAAAGUUGCGUGAUGCACGUCUGUGUCCACAUUGCUCCAAGCUAUGUUGUUUCAGUUGCAUUCGGCGUUGGCUGACUGAACAAAGAGCUCAGUGCCCUCACUGUCGAGCCCCACUCCAGCUACGGGAACUUGUAAACUGUCGUUGGGCAGAAGAGGUUACGCAGCAGCUUGACACACUUCAGCUAUGCAAUCUCACUAAGCAUGAAGAAAAUGAAAAAGACAAGUGUGAAAACCAUCAUGAAAAACUCAGUGUAUUCUGCUGGACAUGUAAGAAAUGUAUCUGUCACCAGUGUGCUCUCUGGGGAGGAAUGCAUGGAGGACAUACUUUUAAGCCACUAGCUGAAAUUUAUGAGCAACAUGUCACAAAAGUGAAUGAGGAGGUAGCAAAACUUCGGAGGCGACUCAUGGAGUUGAUCAGUCUAGUGCAAGAAGUGGAGAGGAAUGUAGAGGCAGUGCGCAGCGCAAAGGAUGAACGAGUUCGGGAAAUUAGGAAUGCAGUGGAGAUGAUGAUUGCCCGAUUAGACACUCAACUGAAGAACAAGCUUAUAACACUAAUGGGUCAAAAGACAUCACUCACCCAAGAAACUGAACUUCUGGAGUCCUUGCUACAGGAAGUAGAACACCAGCUACGAUCAUGCAGUAAGAGUGAGUUGAUAUCUAAAAGCUCGGAGAUUCUGAUGAUGUUUCAGCAGGUUCACCGGAAGCCUAUGGCAUCCUUUGUCACUACUCCUGUCCCUCCAGACUUCACAAGUGAAUUAGUACCAGCCUAUGACUCAACCACCUUUGUCUUGGAAAACUUCAGCACUUUGCGCCAACGGGCGGAUCCUGUGUACAGUCCACCUCUUCAAGUGUCAGGGCUUUGCUGGCGACUAAAGGUUUAUCCAGAUGGAAAUGGAGUUGUGCGUGGUUACUACUUGUCUGUGUUUCUGGAGCUCUCAGCUGGAUUGCCAGAAACAUCCAAGUAUGAGUAUCGUGUGGAGAUGGUUCACCAGUCCACCAAUGAUCCUGCUAAAAAUAUAAUUCGAGAGUUUGCCUCUGACUUUGAAGUUGGAGAAUGCUGGGGUUAUAACAGAUUCUUUCGAUUGGACUUGCUUGCCAAUGAAGGGUAUUUGAACAGACAAAAUGACACUGUAAUUCUUAGGUUCCAGGUGCGUUCACCUACCUUCUUCCAAAAGUGUCGGGACCAACACUGGUACAUUACUCAGUUGGAAGCUGCUCAGACAAGCUACAUCCAACAAAUAAACAACCUUAAAGAGAGACUUGCAAUUGAGCUUUCCCGUACCCAAAAAUCACGAGGCAUGUCACCUCCAGACACUCAUCUUAGCCCCCAGAAUGAUGAUGGUCCAGAAACAAGACCAAAGAAAUCUGGACCGAAUCCUGAAGUACUACUUGAGAGUGUCACCACUCCAGCAUUAGCGAGAGAUGCCAAGGAUGAUGAUGAGGAGAAAAUCCAGCAUGAAGAUUUUAAUUAUGAGCUCUCGGAUGGUGAUCUGGAUGUAGACCUUGCUGGAGAAGAUGAGGUAAACCACCUAGAUGGCAGCAGCUCCUCUGCUAGUUCAACAGCUACUAGUAACACUGAAGAGAAUGAUAUUGAUGAAGAGACUAUGUCUGGAGAAAAUGAUGUGGAAUAUAAUAGUAAUAUGGAACUAGAAGAAGGAGAUCUCCAGGAUGAUGCUGCUGCUGCUGGUGGAGCAUCAGGUAGUAGCCAUGGCUAUCCCAAUGCAAGUGGCAGAUCUUCAAGGCGGGGAGGAAGUACUUUAGGCUCAGCAGCCAGCAGCAGUUUACUAGACAUAGAUCCCUUAAUUUUAAUCCAUUUAUUGGACCUAAAAGACAGGAAUGGGAUGGAAAAUCUGUGGGGUCUACAGCCACGUCCUCCUGCCUCACUUCUGCAGAACAGAGCAUCAUCCUACUCUCUAAAAGACCGAGACCAGCGGAGGCACCAGGCAAUGUGGCGUGUGCCACCUGACUUAAAGAUGCUGAAGAGACUCAAAACUCAGAUGGCUGAAGUUCGAAGCAAAAUGUCUGAUGUAAAAAACCAGCUGUCAGAAGUAAGAAGCAGCAAUGCUGGCUCUUGUGAGGGGCAACCCAGCUUCCUCCCUGGUGAUCAGGGGCCUUUGGCUGCGUGUGGAACAGAAAGCUGCAGCAAGUUACAAGAAAUAGGAAUGGAGUUGCUGACAAAAUCAUCAAUUACAAGCUGUUACAUAAAGAGUUUCACAAGUAAGAAAAGUAAUUCGCCCAAAGCUACUCGUUCUGGAGCAGCAGGGAGCCUGUCUCUUCGAAGAGCAAUGGACUGUGGGGACAAUAACCUUCGCUCAAAGGGAGACUGUCAGACUUCCUCUGAAGGUUGCAUAGGAAGCUCAAAGUCUGGCAGUAGGCAUGGCUCUUCCAGGUCCCUGACUAAUGGUAAUGCUCCUGAUGCACUACCUAAGCCAGAGGAAAGGGAGUGCGAAGGCUCAGAUUCUGAUGUGGGCGUUUCUGCUUUAAAUGGCUUAACAACUAUGGAGAAGACAAGAAAAGCUGUCGCUCUGGGGUCAGAUUCUAAAGGAUGUCAUACAGAAGGAACACGACCAACUGAUCAAGAGAACAACUCGGAAACUGGGGAGCUACAGGCCAUUCUCUCUGAGGGCACUUCAGCAGAGCCAGAGGAAGCCCGAGAAUUUGACGUUGGUGCGUCUUGGGAAAGAAAGGAAGCUGAGAACUUUGUGGCUACAGGAAUCUCACUGCAGCAGGUUCUCCUUUGCUCUUUGCAGCUGGGCUAUGUCAGAAGCACGUCCUUCACCUCCUGCCAGGCAUGAGCAGCGAUAGCGACAUUGAAUGUGACACAGAAAACGAAGAGCAGGAGGAUGCCACAUCCACCUCAGAUGCGUUUAAUCAUGCCUUCGAUGUCCAGCCCUCAAGUGAAGUAUUAGAGCUGUGUUCAGUUUUUUCUGAAGGUGAUCAAAUAGGCCCUGAAGACCUCAGCUUUGGUACUGGAGAGGACAAUACAAGGUAGAGGAUUGGCUUGUUGACUGCAGAAGACUUUGAAGAGUUGGAUUAACACUAGCCUGCUUGUGUCCCUGAGAAGAGGCACACUUCAUAAUGCUUAUUUAUUCCAUCUGUAUUUUUCUCGUAGGGUGUGCACAUUCCAUUGUGCUGAAUAUAAAAGAUUAUGUAGUUCUUCCAUGGCUGUUUUAAACCUGUUAAUAGGGCAAGUUGCCCUAUGAAAAACCUUAGCAAGACUGUAUUUUUCAUGGCUUUGGCAGGUUCAAAUGCAGAUUCUGAACAAAUGUUCAAAAGGUGCUAGAGCCUUGUUCAUAUUUGUCUCCUUACGAUUGAUACAGCAGAGAAUGUGGGGGAAGAUCCUUCCCUUUUUAUUAUUAAUAGUAUGAAAUAACAUUGUAGUUGUAUUCAUAGGGAUCUAAGCUAUUUAAAGUUAGGGUGAAAGUGACCUGCACAAGAGUUAGUUCAUAUUUGUGUUCUUCAGUCUCUAAUUUGGACCAACUGAGAACAUCGUUGCCAAACUUUUUACCACUGUGCAUUGCAUUUGAGCAGCUAAGAUGUUUUGUGAAGCAAUAAUGAAAGCUGAAUCACUGGCUGGUGAAAACGCAUGAAUAAGUGUAUAAAUGUUAGGUGAGUUCUUCUCAUCUGACUGUACUUGCUGAAACAUUCGUUUUGUAUGUAAUGUUCCCCAGUGUUUAAGUGCGUACAAAUCAUAUCGUUUAGUUUAAAACUGUUUGCACUUUUUGUUAAUAAAAUGAAGAUUGAAA